rnacentral:snRNA from 1 species
GCUCAUUCUAAAGGCAUACUGAAAUUGGAACAAUACAUGGCAAAUUAGCACAGUCCCUCUGCAAGAAUGGCACGCAAAUUAGUGAGGCGUUUUAGUUAAGU